ensembl:lncRNA
GGGUACCGGUACAGAGUCAAUGUGGAGGCUAUAUACAAGGGGUACCGGUACAGAGUCAAUGUGGAGGCUAUAUACAGGGUGUUACGGUACAGAGUCAAUGUGGAGACUAUAUACAGGGGGUACCGGUACAGAGUCAAUGUGGAGACUAUAUACAGGGGGUACCGGUACAGAGUCAAUGUGGAGGCUAUAUACAGGGGGUACCGGUACAGAGUCAAUGUGGAGACUAUAUACAGGGGGUACCAGAACAGAGUCAAUGUGGAGGCUAUAUACAGGGGGUACCGGUACAGAGUCAAUGUGGAGGCUAUAUACAGGGUGUACCAGUACAGAGUCAAUGUGGAGGCUAUAUACAGGGGGUACCAGUACAGAGUCAAUGUGGAGGCUAUAUACAGGGGGUACCAGUACAGAGUCAAUGUGGAGGCUAUAUACAGGGUAUUACGGUACAGAGUCAAUGUGGAGACUAUAUACAGGGUAUUACGGUACAGAGUCAAUGUGGAGGCUAUAUACAGGGG